UACGGAGGGGACUAGCGUUGUUCGGAAUUACUGGGCGUAAAGCGUGCGCAGGCGGCUUUGCAAGACAGAUGUGAAAUCCCCGGGCUUAACCUGGGAACUGCAUUUGUGACUGCAUGGCUGGAGUGCGGCAGAGGGGGAUGGAAUUCCGCGUGUAGCAGUGAAAUGCGUAGAUAUGCGGAGGAACACCGAUGGCGAAGGCAAUCCCCUGGGCCUGCACUGACGCUCAUGCACGAAAGCGUGGGGAGCAAACAGG
rnacentral:rRNA from 1 species